GCCUGGACCAUAAUUAGUGCUCAAUAAAUAUCAAUAAUUACCAGUACAAGAACUGGCUUUAUGCACAUUUGUUGAAGAAGAAAGGAAAAUGUUGGGAGAAAAAUAGAAAUCUCUGUGAAUUAUUUGUGAAUUUGGGAAAUUCAGAAUAUUCAUUUUUCUGUAUUUCCAUUCAAGCCUUGUGAUUUUUGUCUACUACAUUUUUCUUUCCUUUUACAGAAACAGAUGUUGUUUUUGGUGAUGUAAGUUACCAGGGUUGGGGGUCUGAUCUGGAGGAACUGGGAGGUGAGUUCCAGCCCCUUCCCUCAGUUUCUCAUCAUUGUGGAGCAGUCUUGCCCUCUUCCUUCGAUCAAGCUUCAAAGCUUCAUGGCAACCACAUUUAAUGUUUAUUGCUAAUGUUAUUAGUUUCUAAUCAGAGCCUACUGCGAUUAUUACCUAAUAGCUAUUGCUUUGCACUUCCAACCAGAUGUCAAAAAUAAUGAGCCAAUAAGACUGCUAUUAAUUUAGACUGAAUGACAGUUUUAGGCCCUCGGAGCUGAAGAUUAGGGGCCUCAUAAAAGCAGGGCACAAAUAAUUCGAGUGCUCAAAAGUAAUAGCAAAAAUGGUGAGAAUGUGAAUUAAUAGGUAAGUGUUUCUAAUUUACAAAUGAAACAUGCAGCUUGAAAUAUCAACACUUCUCCUGCAUUCUCCUGCGAUGAAUGGAGCAGUCCUCAUGGAUCCCAGCCUCCAGGAUUUGGGUAGAAUGGCUCAGAAAGUUUGCUGUCUAUAGGAAGAAGAGAUGAUAUUAGCAUAGAUCUGUUUACCUGGUCCUAUUUGGUUCCAGUGAGAGAAUGGGGCCAGGUCAGCAAGUGCCUAGAAGAGACCUUCUCCCGGCAUCAAGCGUUCCAUGAAACGUGUGUCCAUUUUGCUGACAGGCUCUGGUGCAUUCUGAUUGACUUCCAGAUGCCUUUCCUGACAUGCACCCCAUUGUAGAUGAUUAUCCUCCUUCUAACUCAUGGAUGCUGUCAUCCUGUACACCAUUGGGUAUGGGAUGCUUGGGUUCAAAUCUUAAUUGCAUUAUGCUCUGAGGGUGUGACCUUGAGCAAGGUGUCCAUCAUCUCUGAAUCUUAGCUCCCUCCCCUUUUAAGGUGUCCAUAUCAAUAGCACGUAACUUGUAGGAUUACCACUGAUCAUUGGAAGAAAUAGCAGAUACAAGGAUCUCAGCACAGUGCCUGUCACACCAAUGAACUGGAGAAAUUGUCACUGUUGCUUAAACACUAGGGCUCUGUUUCUCCUUCACCUUGAUCAUUUAUUCCCUCUGUUUAUUCAUGCCUUUAGGUACCUAUUUAUCAAAGCAGGAGAAAAAUUUUAAAAAGUUCAUUUCUUUUCUUCCUCCAGUCCUCAUAUAUUAAUCUGUAGACCCAAGCCUGUUUCAUUUCACUUUGUUCUACCAUUUUAAAGACAAACAUUGUCCAAAGGCAUGCUAUGGCUCCUUUUGGUAUAUAUUUGUUUACCAUGGUCCUGUUUGGUUCCAGUGAGAGAAUGGGACCAGGUCAGCAAGUGCCUGGAAGAGGAGACCGUCUCCCAGCAUCACGCAUUUCUCCAUGAAAUGUGUCUCCAUUUUGCUGACAGGCUCUGGUGCAUUCUGAUUGACCUCCAGAUGCACCAGAGCCUGUCAUAUAAGGGGAUGGGGUACGGAGGCGGAGACCCAGUCUGUGCUACAAUACCUUUAGUGUCUGGUGGGUGUCAUGGAGGAAAGAGGUCCCCGAGUGUAAGGGUGGGGUGAGCAGGGAGCAGUAAGGCUGCAGAAGGAGAUGGUGUCCCGUCUGGCCUGAGAAGAUGUUGUUGGAGAGACAAGCUAAUUGCUCUCAAAUGGCUACCUUUUCCACUAGGCACACAGAUACACUCCAGGAUGGAAUGCAGGCAGAAAUCAUGACCUCCAUCCACCUUUAACUUUCCAAGGCCUGGCCCAUAAACCCUCCCUGUCAGGCUUCCUGGUACCUCUUCCCUGGCUGCUAGCUGGAUGCUGAGGCCCUGGGGUGCUGAGCCACUGGUGGAGUGAAGCCUGGGCCUGAAAGGCUGGGUGAAACAGAAGUCAUGGGAUGGGCAGAAGAUGCUGAUCUAGGCUGAUACCUGGCAAACCCUACCUUGUCCUGCCCCUGACACUGCAGAUCUGAGGACGCGCUGGGGGAGCCGAGCAUCCAGGUGUGCAUUUUCCCAUCUUUGCCUCCUUUGCUGUGCCCCAUCCAUGGAUUCUUCCAUUAGUGACCCUGGGAUUUUAAGGCUUGUAGCCUGAGCACUCACAGGGAGGUGUGGGGACUGAGUAAUCCUCUCAAUUGAGCCUGUUAAUAAAUUUGUCACCACACUAGACGAGGGGAAAUGAUUUUAAAUUGAUUCGUGCAGAAUUUUGAUGUGUUCUGCACAUCCAACUUUGCUUUUGGUGCUCUGGUUAAGCAUUGGUGAGUCACCGGUUCAGCCUGAUUAUUCUUGCUGCUGUAAAAGUAGAAAUCAAUAUUAAUAUUUCCUCACUGUUAACCAUCUCUCUAGAACAAAUAUUUUUUCCCCUCCUUCUCCUUCUAUGACUUUGUUAUCUUUGCAUUUCUAAUUGUGUCUGAAAUUUAUGGAGUGUCUUUUUUUUUUUUUGGUAAAGAACUACAGUUUGUGAUGAUGCUGCUUUUCCCAUCACAUCUGGGAUCAGCGUUUGUAAUAGAUUCUCUUUUACGUUCAGCUCCUGAAGAGCACUCUCAUGAUCUGAUAAGAGAAGAUGAUCUUUGCUGGCCCUUUGAGGUAAUGAAUCCUUUUCAUUUGUUUUCUUGCAUACUUUCUAGGUCAGUGAGUGGAGGGAAUUUUUGUCCAACGUGCACCUUGACAGAGCUUCACUGACCACGGGCGGUGUCUCCCUGCUGCCACGCAGCACACCUCUGACCACAGACCUCUCUCCAGAGCCACGUGUUUGCUUCUCACCUGACAGGCUCUGUGAGAGCCCAUCUGUGCUUCCCUGGGAUGUCUGACCGCACGCAUCCCCCACUGUGCAUGGGAGCCCUGCUGGGCCCGUAGGUGGAAUUAUUUCUCAGUUUUAAUCUGAGUACAUAAUUGAGGCUUGUGCCAGCAAGGACUCCCAUCGCUUUCUUUCCUCACACUCCACACGUAGUGCUGCUCAGUGAUUUUACUGUUCCUCUAGGAAUGGCUCCCACCUGCUUAGAGUAUAAGAUUUAUCUCCUUAGCACACCAUGGGAAGUCUCCUAAAAUCCAUCCACUGCUUAUCUCUUUGGCCUCAGCUCUUGGCCCCCUGUGAUGAAACCCUGAUCUCUAGUCAUGCAGAGGUGCUUGCAACUUUCUGAAAGCUCCUUUCAAAGGUGCCUUUGCCUUCUGUUCCCUAUCCCUUCAGGGUCCUUCCCGGCUAGCCACUGCUCCUGGCUAAGUUCUGAGAGGUUGCAUCCACCUCGCGGGAGUGUUGGCCAUUUUCUCCCUUCGAGGUCCUUAUUGUUGGCCUUUCUCUCUUUCCCUACUAGACUCUAAGCUCCCUUAGAGUGGGGCCUCUGUCUCACCCAUCUCUCUGUGGCCCCCAUCUAGUGUGCGGUCAAGGCUUGCUGAGAGCUGCCUUUUCAUGUGUAUUAUGACAAUUCAGCCCAAUGACAAGUGGCUCACUCCAUCUCCAACACGCUCCUGUCAACCUUCCUUUUCCCUGGGUCUCUUCAGUUUAACCUUUUGUGGGCAUACCAUCAUGCAUUAGUUGGAAUCAGAUUGAUACUGGAGGUGUUUUUGUUUUCCAGAAAUGUCUGGGGAAAGUGUGCCUGUGUACUUUUCAUGUAUGUCCGUCGGAGGAAAAGUUUUCAUCAUUCAUUUAUUCUUGUAUCGAUUGCACAAAAUUGCUUAAGAUUCUCCUCUGUGUGUGGUUCCAUGGGAGCUUGGACCACUUUACAUGAUGAAUAGGACAGAGUAGAGUCCCUUUUGGGAAACAGGCAUCUGUAAAAUGCUAUGGGUACAUAAAGAGCCACCUAAUGGAAAUGGGUCACAGCUGGCACUCCAAAGGAGGCAAUGUCUGAGCUGAAUUGGAAGGAAAAGCAGGCAUUUGCCAAUGAGAACUUGGAGGGUUCUCCAGGAGCAGGGCGUGCAGAGAGCCCAUUGAGUGGAGGCGUGUAGGGAGCCAUGGGGACUUUGGUUUAUCUUAAGAACAAUAUGUGUUUGUGUGUACAAGGGAGGGGGCAGAAUAAGGAAUGGCAGAUAAAGCUGAAGAAGUGAGUAGAGGCCAGAUCACAGGGUCCUGACUGUGUCCUGGAUAAACACGGGGAUGCUGGAGGUUUAAUCAGGGUCAUGGCGUGGUAAUAUUUCCAAGUAGAAAGAUCACUUUGGUGGUGAAUUGCAAGGACUGGCCGAUUCCCCUGGUGGUAGGAAAAGAGGUGACCAGGCUGGUUUCCAGCGGAUCUGGGCUGGGGCUGAGCGUCUGGUUAGUGGUUAGGAAUAAGCUGAGGGAUAAUCUCAAGUCAGGCUCUGCUGUGGGGCAUGUGUUCCCUGCCGAGUGUGUGAGAUGUGAGUGCCUGUUCUGCUGGCUGUGCUUCCUUCCCCUGUCUCGGGGUGCCGGGGACUGAGCCCUGUGACUCCAAUUGACGGCUUCAUUUCACAAAUUAAACAUAUCAUGCUAGUGAACCGUUUCAGAGCCACAGCAUUACAGAAUAAGAAAACCACUGCAGCCCUAAGUCUACAAUGCUCAUGAAGCAAACAAUUCUCUGAAACAUUGACCCAGCACCUCAGAGCUCCCCAUAACAGGUCUACCUCUUUGGAAAGGUCAGACUUUUUAAAGGUUAAUUGUUACCCUUAAGAAAAAUGCAAAACAAACGGUAUGGCUGCAUAUUUAAUAGGUGUUUGGAACAGCAUUUCCCAGAAGCACAAUUCCUGAUGAUUUGAUUUUUAAAAAGAAUGGUCUAGAAAUAAAGUGCCCUUGGCAACUUCUGACUUGAAGAAAGUGAGUAUGCCACCUGUGGUUUAAGGAGUAUUAUUAUUAUACGUCUGAAAUGUCCUCUCCCUCCUCCCCUUUCCCCAAAGAAAACAAACCCAGCCAGACAGUAAUUUGACCAUUGCUAUGUCCUGGGUCUUUGCACAGUGGUGGCUGAACAGCUGAGCAUAGAGCGUCCAGGAGAUCUCAUCCUUGUCUGCCUUCUCUUGCCUACUCUUUCUCCCUCAGCUUUCUCCUCUGCUCCCAGCAUUGACCAGGCACUUGUCUGAAGCCAAGCUCUCCAUCAGACUCCCCAACACCUCCCACAUAGCUUACCGAAGAGCUCUCCCUGGACACCUUGCUGGGCGCCUCAGUGCAAUUUGUCCAAACCAAUUUAGCGCCUCUCUUUUCCAUGGCUCUGGUUCUGCCCUUAACUUCUUCCCUCUGCUGAGCUCUCCUCUCCUCCCUGCACUCAUCUUGCCCCCAGCUUGGAUUCUCCAGUUGUUUUCUCACGACUCAUUGUUCUUCUAGCAUGCUGUCCACCCUGGUGCUGGGUCCUACUGAGCUUUUUUCUCCCAAUCUGUCUCAGGACUGUCUCUUUUCAUUGUGGUGGCCACCACUCUAGACGGAACCUCUCUCCUGGAUCACUGCAAUAACUUCCCAAUUGCCUCUAUUACAGAUCAUCCAUUUUGCCCACUGACACAAGACAUUUUCUGGGAGAUCCAUUAUGAUUCUGCAAAUUCCUUGAUCAAAAUUUUUACUGUUUUCUUACUGUCUAUGGUAUGAAUCUCAGAAUUUCAGGGUUCACUGCCUUUCUACCUUAAUCCUUUACUACCUUUUCUUUUCAGUAACCUUCAUCACCCCCAAGUGGAUGGUCUCCAUUUUCCAAGCUGGCAGCUCACCCCCUCUCUCUGUGCCUCUGCUGCUGCGGUCCACACACCUGGAAUGCCCUCUGCACCCUGCACACGGCAUCCCCCCUCCUUCAAGCAUCGGUCAGAGGCCCCAUCCUCCUACCAGCUCCCUGAUCGCUCCAGUCUGGUGCAUUCAUUGUACCCCCAUGGCUUUACCCAUACUCUGGGUUUUCAUGAACACACGGGCAUGUGCUCAACACCUUCUCCUUCCAGCUCCAGAUGCUUUCCUGCAGGUCUCUACCUCAGCUGGCCUCUUUGCAGGAAAUUAACGGCGUCUCCUACCUUCUGGCUCCCAGUUGCGCUGGGCCAGUGGGGCAUAUCGAAAGGAGAGAGAGAGACAGGGCAUUUAUUCUUGGCUUCUUCCCUGUGUGGUUGCCCAGGCUGGCUGUUCCUGACUGAAGGCCUCCUGGCCUGAUGGAGCUGUCUUUCCUCUUCCAGUGGCUGCUCUUGCCCCUCUUCAGGUGAAGAACAUGCUGGUUUCAGGUUGUGACUCACCCCGAGGGGCUUGUGGAUUCCUUAUUCCCAGCUCACAACGUUGUAGCCCUUUAUUAAACACCCCUAACACGUUCCAGAUAGUCUUCCUUCCAAGACCCCAAGGAACACACUCCAUACACGCCUUGUGCUUCAAAUCUCAGAAUCACUGUGUCAAGCAAGAGAAGCCACCCAGGAAACAUAUGUGGGUGAAGUCAAGAACAGGCAGGACCGACCUACUGUGAUGGAAGUCAGAACACUGGAGGUUCAGUUUUGGAUUGGAGUUGACUUGAGGAAACUUUCUGAGGUUUGGAAAUGCUCUGUAUCCUGUUGAGGGUGGUGGUUGUGUGAGUAUAUGCAAUGGUCAAAACUCAUUGAACCCAUACACACGUUUUAUGGUAUCUAAAUGAUACCCCAAUAAGAAGUAAAUACAUAAGAUUACAAAGGAAAAUAACUGUGUUAAAAUAAGAUUAUUAAGAUGUCCAAUACAAAGAAGAUCCUCGUAGUUCCUCAACACACACAGCAACACACGCAUCAGAAUCCUAGGCUCCAGAACCCCAGAGAUGCACUGUCUGGAUGGACCUCUAACAAAGCAACCCCUGAAGGUGCAGCACCCAUCUUGCCGCCCAGGCAAUGCCUCUUCCAAAGGAAUGUACAACUCUUAGAAACAGGGACAUGGUCCCUGGCACAAUCCUAAGCACAGAGUAGGUACCUAAAGCUUGAAACCAAAAGUCAGCCCUCACUUAACAAAUGGAUGAAGAGUCAAAUAGAUUCUUAUUCUGAGCUAGGCAGCAGGUUAGCUACUAGAAGAGCCUAGUCUUCAGUUUUUAAAUUUAAUCUCGUAAACUCAGAAGACUCGUUGGCUCUUGGAGGUUUAGAUGAAUCUGGCUCACCUCUCAACCCCAGGGGUUCAAAGCUUGUGAAAAAUGCUUUGUUUCUCCAGAGAUGCCCCUGUCUCUACUCCCUUGGCUGUGACUGUCAUCUCACUACUACCUCCAUGAUAAUCUGGGCUCAGAUAUCUGCCAUUUGGGUGAGAAAAUCUGCUCCAGCCAAGCAAUGUGUGCUGAGUGGCUUCAUGAAGGACAUUAGGGUGUCAUGGUGCAGGGUUGCCGCUGACUGUCUGAUUAUCAUCAGCCUCCAGUGUGCUCCCUGCAUGCCUGCUUGCAGUCCACUGACUCCUUUAACUUAAAUCCCAGUGGGUGACCUUCUAUACCCUAAGCAUUCACUUGGGAAAUGGAAACUAUUCAUUCUUCUUCUUCUUUUUUUUUUUUUUUUUUUUU
rnacentral:lncRNA from 1 species